GUUUCCGUAGUGUAGUGGUUAUCACGUCUGCCUCACACGCAGAAGGUCCCCUGUUCGAGCCUGGGUGGAAACA
rnacentral:tRNA from 2 species